rnacentral:rRNA from 1 species
UAAUAUGGAGAGUUUGAUCCUGGCUCAGGAUGAACGCUGGCGGCGUGCCUAAUACAUGCAAGUCGAGCGAACUGAAGAGGAGCUUG